AUUGAACGCUGGCGGCAGGCCUAACACAUGCAAGUCGAGCGGAUGAAGGGAGCUUGCUCCUGGAUUCAGCGGCGGACGGGUGAGUAAUGCCUAGGAAUCUGCCUGGUAGUGGGGGAUAACGUCCGGAAACGGGCGCUAAUACCGCAUACGUCCUGAGGGAGAAAGUGGGGGAUCUUCGGACCUCACGCUAUCAGAUGAGCCUAGGUCGGAUUAGCUAGUUGGUGGGGUAAAGGCCUACCAAGGCGACGAACCGUAACUGGUCUGAGAGGAUGAUCAGUCACACUGGAACUGAGACACGGUCCAGACUCCUACGGGAGGCAGCAGUGGGGAAUAUUGGACAAUGGGCGAAAGCCUGAUCCAGCCAUGCCGCGUGUGUGAAGAAGGUCUUCGGAUUGUAAAGCACCUUAAGUUGGGAGGAAGGGCAGUAAGUUAAUACCUUGCUGUUUUGACGUUACCAACAGAAUAAGCACCGGCUAACUUCGUG
rnacentral:rRNA from 1 species